rnacentral:rRNA from 1 species
GAUGAACGCUGGCGGCGUGCCUAACACAUGCAAGUCGAGCGGUAUAUACUUAAACAAAUCUUCGGAAGAGUGAGAGUAUAGAGAGCGGCGGACGGGUGAGUAACGCGUAGGCAACCUGCCCCAUACAGAGGGAUAGCCUCGGGAAACCGGGAUUAAAACCUCAUAACGCGAGAGAGUCACAUGGCUUUUUCGCCAAAGAUUUAUCGGUAUGGGAUGGGCCUGCGUCUGAUUAGCUAGUUGGUGGGGUAACGGCCUACCAAGGCAACGAUCAGUAGCCGACCUGAGAGGGUAAUCGGCCACAUUGGAACUGAGACACGGUCCAAACUCCUACGGGAGGCAGCAGUGGGGAAUAUUGCACAAUGGGCGAAAGCCUGAUGCAGCAACGCCGCGUGAGCGAUGAAGGCCUUUGGGUCGUAAAGCUCUGUCCUUGGGGAAGAAUAAAUGACGGUACCCUUGGAGGAAGCCCCGGCUAACUACGUGCCAGCCGCCGCCGUAA